rnacentral:rRNA from 1 species
UGAGCAAUCUGCCCUUCACAUCGGAAUAACCAUUGGAAACGAUGGCUAAUACCGAAUAUGACUUCGGAUCGCAUGAUCUGAAGUGGAAAGCUCCGGCGGUGAAGGAUGAGCUCGCGGCCUAUCAGCUAGUUGGUGUGGGUAAUGGCCCACCAAGGCGACGACGGGUAGCCGGCCUGAGAGGGCGACCGGCCACACUGGGACUGAGACACGGCCCAGAUCCCGUACGGGG